ACGGAAGGCAGCAGUGAGGAAUAUUGGUCAAUGGGCGGAAGCCUGAACCAGCCAAGUCGCGUGAAGGAAGACGGUAUUAUGUAUUGUAAACUUCUUUAGGCGCAGAGAAAUAAGCUCCUCGUGAGGAGUGAUGCUAGUAUGCGCAGAAUAAGGAUCGGCUAACUCCGUGCCAGCAGCCGCGGUAAUACGGAGGAUCCGAGCGUUAUCCGGAUUUAUUGGGUUUAAAGGGUGCGCAGGCGGUCGAUUAAGUCAGUGGUCAAAUCACGGUGCUCAACGCCGUUCCGCCAUUGAUACUGGUUGACUUGAUUCCGGUCGAGGCAGGCGGAGUUCGUAGUGUAGCGGUGAAAUGCAUAGAUAUUACGAAGAACUCCGAUUGCGUAGGCAGCUUACCAGGCCGGCAAUGACGCUCAUGCACGAAAGUGCGGGGAUCGAACAGGAUUAGAUACCCUGGUA
rnacentral:rRNA from 1 species